GACAAGAAUUGGCAUUCUAACCAAUACCAUUUUUUUCUCUAAAGCAGGAGAAAAAAAGAUAUUAUCAGAAGAAUUCUUUUCUCAUCAGAUACUAUAAUUAUACCAUCUGGGCUGUUGAGAGGAUGGCAUCUAAAUAUUGCAGUUCCCUUAGACAAGAAAGACCUGAGGGACCCUGAGGUCCUCUGGGAAUGCUGCAAAUUGCAUGUGCUGAGUAUGUGAAGAAAAGGUUCCCAGAAUCUCUUCCUCUAGAAUUGCAGCAACUAUUUGAGACCAGGGUCACCCCGGGUCUUCUGGGAGAGAGAAACCUGGACCCUCCAUGUGUGUGCCUGGGAACUCUGAGCGUCUCACUGCGUGGCUGAAUUAAACAUCUGUGGAUACCAUGCAAAGGCCCUUUCUGCUUCUUUACCCUGGACUUUACUUGUAGCAGUUCAGGCUGCUACAGGUUAUGUUCUCAAAAUAUU
rnacentral:lncRNA from 1 species